GUCAACAACCACUACCCUAAAGGGAUAGUGGCUUGUAGGUAACUAUAAGCCACAUGUUGACUAGACUAAGCAUUAACUUGCUACGUUAUAUAAGCCAUCAUACCCGUGGACGUUUGUCCUAAUCUACGGCUCUAUGGUUUAGUAUUAAACAGUUCUGUGUGGUACGGAACAGUGUGCUAGGCAUGACAAACUUAUAUAACAUUGUCUAAGGAUUUUUAAC
rfam:Peptococcaceae bacterium BRH_c23 BRHa_1004084, whole genome shotgun sequence.